CGACGCAGGAGGCCGGCGCCUCGUCCCGCCGCAGGAGAGCCUCGGCCGGAGCCUGGCCAGCCGCGCCACAGGUGCCCGCCUGCCGGGGAUGCCCGCGUCGCCAGCCCGGCGGCCACGGCAGCGACCCUGCGGGGCAGAGGCGCACCAUGAGCACCGGCACAGCUUCUCAGCCACAGGCUGUGCACAGCCACUUGGAAAAGCCUUCUGGUGCUGCAAUCCUCUGCAAUAAUUGUGGAAAUCCAUGCAAAGGAGAGGUGCUAAGAGUACAAAAGAAGUAUUUCCAUAUUAAAUGUUUUGUUUGCAAAGCAUGCGGAUGUGACUUGGCUCAAGGAGGAUUUUUUGUAAGACAAGGAGACUAUAUCUGUACUUUGGACUAUCAGCGCCUCUAUGGGACACGGUGCUUCAGCUGUGAUCAGUUUAUUGAGGGAGAAGUGGUUUCAGCACUGGGGAAAACCUAUCAUCCAAAUUGUUUUGUGUGUGUAGCUUGCAGGCAACCUUUUCCUCCUGGGGACCGCGUAACUUUCAAUGGCAAAGACUGUAUCUGUCAGAAAUGCUCUCUGCCACCUGCUGGAAGCAACAGCAAUUUUCCAGUCCUCCGAAAUUGUGGGAAUUGUGGCUCUGAAAUAAAAAAUGGACAGUCUUUGGUUGCUUUGGACAAACACUGGCACUUGUCCUGUUUUAAGUGCAAGAUAUGUGGCAAACUUCUGAAUGCUGAAUAUAUCAGCAAAGAUGGUGUUCCAUAUUGUGAAAUGGACUAUCAUGCUAAAUUUGGAAUAAGAUGUGACAAUUGUGAAAAGUACAUCACAGGAAGAGUUCUGGAGGCUGGAGAAAAACACUAUCACCCAACUUGUGCACUGUGUAUCAAGUGCAACCAGAUGUUUGCAGAAGGAGAAGAGAUGUAUCUUCAAGGGGCUUCCAUCUGGCAUCCCGCCUGCAGACAGGCAGCCAAAGCUGAAGAAAAAGCCAAGUUCCAGGAAACUAGAACAUCAUCUGAGAGUAUAAUUUCAGUACCUGCUUCAAAUACUUCAGGUUCCCCAAGUCGAGUGAUUUAUGCAAAACUUGGAGUUGAAAUCCUUGAUUACAGAGAUUUGGCUGCUCUUCCUAAGGAUAAAGCUAUCUAUAACAUAGACCGUCCAGAUAUGAUCUCCUAUUCUCCAUAUAUCAGCUAUUUGACAGAUGACAGACAUAGUUACGGGGAGGGUGACCAAGAUGACCGUUCUUUCAAGCAGUACAGGAUAUCCAGCCCUAGUUCUACUGGCUCACUUGGCUACGGCCGCAACACCCCAACCUCUCACUCUCCUCAGAAUUACAGCCGACCAGCUGGUACUCAGACUCUUGGUACCAGUAGCUGCAUCUCCCUGCCCCAACACACAAGCCUUACAUCUACAUUCAGACAUCAUUACAUCCCUUUCUUCAAAGGCAGCGAAAGUGGUCGAAGCACUCCAAGCUUAUCCAUGUGCUCAGACAGCAAAUCUUCAUCAUCGCUAUAUCAGCAAGCACCUAGACAUUUCCAUGUCCCAGACACUGGAAUAAAAGAUAACAUCUAUAGGAAACCCCCUAUCUACAGACAGCAUGCGUCAAGAAAAUCAGAUGAUGACAGCAGUAGUUGUGAUCAAGACAGCAGGAAGCUAAAAUCAAGUUGGCUGACUUUGAAAGGGGAGGUGGAUGCCAGAACUAACUCUCCAGAUCUGGAUACUCAGUCACUCCCACAAAGUCCUGGAACCGACAGAGAGCUACAGCGUUUGCACAGUAAUGCAAACAGUACCUACUUACGAUUUCCAUAUUCCAAAUCUGCUUCUCUUCCUGACUAUGGAAAGAAUGGGUUACACCAUGCUGCAGAUAUGGCCCAGUAUGACACCGACCAGGAUUCUACUUGGGGAAAGAGAGAAUACAAGGUAAGGGUUGCUGUUGACAACACUUAGAGAAUGUUGAGAAUCAGCCCUUCUUAACAAGGUUUAUCCAUAUGAAACACUUAUUGUAACAAACAGAGUUCGAGUGAAGCUGCCAAAGGAUGUAGACAGAACUAGGCUGGAGCGUCACCUGUCCCCUGAACAGUUCCAGGAAGUCUUCGAAAUGAGCAUUGAACAAUUUGAACGACUUGCACUUUGGAAAAGAAAUGAGCUAAAGAAAAAAGCUCUGCUUUUCUAGCCUCCCGUAGACAAACUGAAAUGUGCUUAAUGAAAACAAACUGCACUCUUGCCACAGCUUAUCAUCUGCACCUGCUGUUGACCCUUUGUCUAGCUUCAUUGUGUUAGGGGUAGGGACAGAAAAUUGGAGAGAGAGAAAACAUGGCAUUUGCAUGACCCAGAGGAAUAUCUCAGUAGCUACUGGGUCUUCAAAAGUAUAUAACAAGCCUUGCUUUAAAUUAAUGAUUGCUUUAGCUGUUGCCUGUUGCAAAAAAAAAAGUAAUUUUAAAUAAGAAGGAAAUGUGUAGUUUUGACAAAAAAAUCGGCUACUGUUUUGUUUCUACAUUUUGCACUAGUGAGCAAAACCUGUACAAAAUCAAAAUAUGCUGAUGAAAAAAAUCUUCCCCAAGAGGGUAAAAAAUGUGCUACUUUGAAGCAAAUGUGAUAAAGGCCAAAGAAAAGCAUGUCAGAAAGUCACUCUUGCCAAUGUUUGUGUGUGACAUCUUUUUAGGAAUAAAAGCAAACCUAUAAUAAAGCACUUUAAGUCUCAUUCUCUCACUUAAAUACAAUCUGCUGUUCCACAUGUAAAGUAGCAAAUGAAAAAUAGCUAUCCAUCUUUUAUUUUAGUAAAGAUAGAUUGUGAUGUACAUGUGUUCAGAGUACCAUUCAGACAGUUCAACAUGCAACCUAUUUUAGAUGAAGUACUUGAUUUAAAAUGCCUGAACCAUUUAUUUCAGUGGGACAAAGUUCUAACUACUUUGGGUUUACCCAGCUGGAGAUCAUGUAGUAAUUCAACUUUCACAUCACAAAAAUGCGUAAAUUCUUGUGUGUCAUAAGGCUGUGCAAUUCUGACUGUAUUUCUAUUUUUUCUACAUUUCACAUACAAAGAAUGUGUAACUAAUAUUGAUUCUAUGCACACAGUGGUUGUCCAUAUUAAAAAUAUUGUUUUGUAACUCA